AGUUCUAGGAGAAAACCAGUGUUGAUAACACACCAAUGUUUACAGCUGCAGAUUUCUUUAAUGAGAAGCAUUCCAGUAAUCAUGAAACUGAAGAAAACGGUAGCAAUAAGUUGUAAGUUUAGGUAAAAAUGUGAUAAAGCAAGUACACGGUUUUUAAUCUAUCACAUUUAAAGUCAAAAACAGCUCUAUACCCAAGAGAAGAAAUCUUUGCAAAAUAAAUG